UAUAAUAGCCAGAAGCUGGAAAGAACCC
rnacentral:piRNA from 2 species